CCUAAAGAAGAAAUGAUUUAUAGAUGGAGAAAAAAUUCAGUUGAGGCAGCUGAUCAGAAAUCAUGGCGGCUUUAUCAGUUUGACUUUAUGGGCCUCAGAAACACAACAGAAAUCGUAACAACAUCUGCAGAUUGGAUUAUUUCUGUUCAACUGUUGUCAAAUUCACUGGUUCUUUCCUUUGGCUGUGAUAAGUCUAUUGGUAUCAGCAUCAAGGCAUGUUUCAUCUCCCCUAUGCUGCUGCUGCUUCUGCUGCUGUUGUUGUUUUCCUGCGUUUCUAUUAGAUUUCUUCUUAACAUUGAAAUCAGUAUUGGUCUUGCAUGUUGUCUACCUUCUCCAUUAAAGCCUUUAACAUAUUAAAUGAUUAUUUUAAACA